rfam:Bombyx mori DNA, contig: Bm_scaf82_contig33133, strain: p50T/Dazao, build 2, whole genome shotgun sequence.
AUACUUACCUGGCGUAAGGGAUACCGUGAUCAUGCAGGCGGUUCCCCCAGGGCGAAGCUGCUCCAUUGCACAGCGGAGCGGGGUUGAUCCUUGCGAUCAUCCCUAAUGCGGAUAACUCGGACGCGUAAUUUUAUAUAAAUCAUUGUGAA